AAUUUAUGACCCUGUGCGACUGGCCCACUCCCUAGUGGAGUGCGUGCUUGUUUGCACGGGUCAUUCUUCUGGAAAGCAUUUCUGCUCUUGAUUGGGUUGGUUAUGUGAUUCAGAUCUUUUACUGUGAGUAAAUCAGAGUGUUCAAAGCAGGCAUUUUCGCUUGUAUGGUUCAGCAUGGAAUAAUAAGAUAAGACUUCGGUUUUAUAUUGUUGGCUGUAGAACCAAAGUAAUGAUUGAAAGGGACAGUUGGGGGUGCUAGUAUUCAGUGGUCAGCGGUGAAAUGCGAGGACCCAUUGAAGACUAACUUAUGCGAAAGCAUU
rnacentral:rRNA from 1 species